GUGCCACAGGGCUAUCACACCUGCCAUCGUGUUCUGAGUCAAUCCUCGGGAUGACCGUCGAGUCAGUGCAGGGGAGUCAGGUGUAUCUGGAGCAGAUUGAGACAUCGGGGUCUUUUGGAAUUGUGGCACGACCCCUGGAUGCCCCUCAAGGUUCAAGUUGAGACCGCCUCCUCUUGAGUUGCAACAGGAAUGCCGGGAUUCCUUUCCCGACGAAGCAGGGAAAUGGACCCACAUCUCAAGAUGAGGAGGAAAAACCGGGGCUCUUCUUGAGUUGUGGCAGGACCUUCGGUGUUCCUCUCGAGUGGAGACGGGUAUGUUGGGGAACUUCUUGUGUUGCCUCAAGGGUGUCAAGAACCCUUUAAAGGCUCAAGAGGGAAGGUGGAAUUUCUCUCGAGACACCGCAGGGGAAAGAGGCCUCAUCUCGCAUUGAGGGGAGAAUCUCCUGGUUUUACUCAAGUUGGAACAAGGAAAUAGGGGUCCCAUUCGAGUUACAACGGGGACCUCUUGGGACCCACUCGUGUUGCCUCAGAAAGGCCAGUCUCCAUGUAAACUGUGAGGGUCCUCAUACCACGCUCUCUGGAAUCAACGUACAGUUAAGGCACGGCCCCUCUGCAGAAGGCACUGCUCCAGCCCCACGCCAUCCAAGCUCGACGAGCCUCCUAGACGACCUCUUGGUGGCCACGGGUAUGCUGGCCUUACUGGGCCCUUCCCCGGGGGCCAAUGCCUUCCAAGGGGUGGACCCUGCCCUCCCAGGCGCACCCAGCCUCCUCGACGAGCUCUUGGCCGCUUCGGGCAUCCCGGACACGAAGGUGCCUUCCCCAGGAGCCGCUGCCGACCAAGGGGUGGACCCUCCCUUCCCAAGCGCACCCAGCCUCCCAGACGAGCUCUUGGCAGCCACGGGUGUCCCAGACACGAAGGCGCUUUCCCAGGAGCCGCUGCCGUCCACAGGUUGGACCCUGCCCUCCCAGGUGCACCCAGCUUCCUAGAUGAGCUCAUCGCCGACACGGGCAUCACGGACAUGAAGGUGCCUUCCCCGGGAGCCGCUGCUGACCAAGGGGUGGACCCUGCCCUCCCAAGCACAUCGAGCCUCCUACACGAGCUCUUGGCAGCCAGGGGUGUGCCAGCCUCGUCAGAGCUUUCCCUGGAGGCCUUGACAGUUGUAGCGCAACAACCAGCUCUCGCUGGCACACCCAGCCUCUUAGAGGAAAUCUUGGCUGCCACUGGCAUCCACGCCACCCCAGGGCCUUUCCUGGGGCCCUGUGCCGAUGAACAGGCACACCUCGCCCUCCCAGGCUCACCAAGACUCCAAGACGCGCUCCUGGCUGCCCCGGGCAUCCCAAGUUCACCGGGUCCUUUUCCGGGGUCCUCUCCUGUCGUCACAGGGGCCCACCCAGCCUUCCCCGGGUCACCCAGCCUCCUAGAGGAAAUCUUGGCUGCCAUGGCCACGCAGGACACGCCCUGGUCUCCUCUGGGGGCCCCUGUGGGGGACGAGGGAGUUGAGGCCAUCCUGGAAGCACCCCUCAGUCAGGAGGAUUACGAGGCCCUCCUCAACAUGCUGCCAGGCUCCCCAGGUCCUCGGGCUUAGAGGGAGAGGAAGGGAGGGGCACCUUCUCCCCCUGUCCACGUUCAGGUCUCCUUGCCUGGGAUGCUCGGGGAAGGGGGGGCGGUUUUGUGUGUGGGAAGAGGAGAGAAUACCGACAGGAUGUCUACCAACAACUCUGGGGACAAACCCGAGAGCUGGACCUUUGGGAAGCUGGGCCCCACCCCGAAACAGGGACACCCUACUUGAAGCCUCAAGUAAUUCCUGCAUGGCAAUGACCAAGAGGGUGCCAAAGAGGGAACAUUCCAUGGACACAAGACAGAAACCCCGUGCCCCACACAGGUGCUUUGGGUCUGGCUCUUCUGACUUCUGGUCCCAUCCUUCCAGCAGUCCACCCAGGAGAACUCCUUCCCUACACCAGGAGCAGCAGAGGGAGGGGGAGCAGGAGACAGUGGAGUGAAAAGGUGGAAAGGUUGGGAGAUGCAAGGUGGGAGUGGGUGGGGGUGAAGGGAGAGAGUGGGGGUGAAGGGAGAGAGGGAGAGAGAGGGUGGGAGGCAGGGAGAGUUGGGUACAGUGGGAGGGAGAGGCGGUAGGGGAGAGGAGGGGGGCGGAGCCCGAGCCUGGGACUCAGCGUCAAGCACCUGGCAAACCCUGCAGGUAUCACUAAAAUGCUGCGUCAGGGACACGUUGCCCUCAGUUUGAGGGUGCCUGCUGUGGCCGGGUGUUCGGAAGUCAGAGCCUCCGAGCCAGCAGUAGGGACCUACUACCCACACAACCGCUGUCUCGACCAGACUCAACCAUGUCCAUGUGUACACCGAUGCCAGGCAUAUCAGGAAAGGCCAGUCAUCUCCGUGUCUCUCUCUGACCCUCCCAGUAUGGAAUGACUGAGCUCGCCCUGCCACCAGCAUCCUCCCGUCACCUGCAGACAUACAGAUGGUCUUUACUUGCAAACCCGUUCCUGAAUUCAUGGACCCAAUGGUUUCGAAGUCCGUACGAACCCCUGCCUGUUCCCAUGUGAACCCCCGUGGUGGGUUUAGAAACCUGGGUGUCCAAAGAAUACACUGCCAAAGACGGUUGGGGUGUGUGCUGUUGUGGUUUGUCCAUUUCUCUUCAACUCACUCUUUUCACCUUGUUCACAGUGAAAAAAGAAGUGUCUCUCAUCGUCCAUCCCCCAUGUUGUUUCAGGCAGCCUUCCUCCUUCUUUGUCUGCUCUGGCCUCCUGAUUCCUUCCUCGUCCUCCUCCUUGUCCUCCUCCUCCUGCUCGCUGCGCUCUGUCUCUCUGAGAAAGCACACACUCUUUCAUGUCCCGUUGUUGGAACAGGUCAGGGCUUUGCUCUGUCCAGAACGUCCAUGCUGCCUUCCUUGGCUUAGGGGAACCUCCUUCGCAACAGUAGGGGGUACACUGUCCCCUUGGGCGGGUAUCUCCAGGGCACUUAUGCUGGGGGGUUGCCUGGGGAGGCGUGGGCCUCAGGGUCCACAUGAGAAAAGCCCCAAAUGGUGAGAGCUGCCGUUCCAGAUACUGGCCCUUCAGGUCUCUGGCCAGAGCCUUGAGCUCCAGGCAACUCAAAGCCUUCGGGGGUGGUGGUCUGGGACUGCUGUAGGGAAAGGACGCCAAGAGGGCAAGGAAGAGUUUGGGAGGGGCAUGGGGAACGGAGGCAAGGACAGCAAAGAAUCUAGGUGGAGGCACUGGAGAGAGAAAGUCCAGUGUCCCAGAAUGCCUCCGAGGAGCUGGCAGGGGGCAAUCGAGGCCAAAGGACUUGUGGAAUGUGAAAAGGCAGGAAACCCCAGAGCGGUUUUGAAGGCAAGGCAGGCUGGGAAAGGGGGUGUGGGCGGCCACUUCACAGGGCCCUAGGGGCGUUCCCGGGCAGUUAGCUCUCUUGGUACUGCUGAGAGUCCCUGAGCCCGGGGUUGAUCCCACUCCCUGCUGCGCGGGAGGACCACAAACCAAAGACCCCGAACUGCCCGCCCACCCAGACCGGGACCUUGGCGGUCUGAGGCACAGGCCGUGCCUGCCCAGGAAAGCCCACUCUCUCCACCAGACUCCAUCCAGGGUCUCUGCUUGGAAAGAGGCCAGGGUAGUCCCCUUCAUCUACGCACCGAAACCCUAUUUACAUCAAUGUGGGCGGAGCCUCCUCCCGCUCUCCAAAGUCCUGAGCUGCUGGGUCCCGGCCCACUAGGCCAGCAGUCUUCAGCGUCUGUGUGGCUCUCCCACCAUGGCUUCCUGCAGGUCCUCCAGCACCUCAAGCGUAACGUUUGCCCUUCGUCCCUGGGAUCGGAUCACAUCUCAGGGAACUUGCAGAUCACCCAGCCAAGGGUUCUCAGCAACCUUGUCCACCCACCACCAAGAGUGGUGGGGACCGAUCGGCCGGGCCCAUGUUUCCCAGGUGUCAGAUGUGCCCAAAGGGGGCAUUGUUCGUUCGUCUUACUGCUUUGGCACACAUAUGGCUUUUCUGUUCUCUUUUCUGGGAAGAUGGUGUAGUGUCGGGGGCGGGGUGCAGGGUGCGGGGUGCGGGAUGUGGGGCCUGGAGGUGUUCGGGAGGGGGUGCUGUGCUGGGAUGAGGCCCUUUAUCCUCACAUCUUCCUGUGGGAAUGGCUUUCUGGGAGCUUUGUGGCUUUGCCGCCUUCAGUGGCUUCCUCUCCCCAGUGGCCUAGUGCCUUCUGCCUUCCCUCGGGCAUUGCGGGUUUGGGCUUCGCUUUGGCUUCCUUCCCUUUCCUUUUCCACUAGUAACGGCAAACAUGGCCCUUGCUCAUGUCAGCCCCGGAAGGCCAGGUUCCCUCCCACUAGCAACGUGAUGGAGGGAAAUCUGGGAGCAGCCCCAUCGAGAAGUCUCCCCGGCAUCUCCCCCAGUCGGGUGGAAACAUAUGGCAGGAUACUGUGGUGGUCUUCGGGCCCGUCACCACAGGAUCUCAAAGGAGGAAGCUCCUUCUGAAGCUGAGCCAGAAGGACGCCCUGCAAGCGCUCUUUCAAGCGAAACCCUACCCUCGGAUCGCGACCAGAGAACGGCUGCCCUGGGAGCUUGGCAUUGCCCAAAGCAGAGUUCAGUCUGGUUUCAAAAUCAACGCAGAAGACAGUUAAAGCAGAGCCGAUCGCCGUCUGAAUAUGUGCACCAAGAAGGGGAAGCGGGGCCAACGUCCACGCCCAUGCCACUGACACCCUCUCCUUGACCUCAGUCUUCCUCUCCAGGAGACUCGGCCAGAGAGGCCCGGAGAAAGAGGGCAGUAAUCUCUCUUUCUCAAACAAGGAUCCAUGUGCAAGCCUUCACAGGAGAUCUCUUCCUGGGGAUUGCCGCCAGGGAAGAACUGGCUCUUCAGAUGGGAAUCCCAGAACCUCGAAUCCAGAUAUGGUUUCAAAACCGAAGAGCUCAGCACCACCAGCAGGGCCCGAGCGGGCCCGGCAUGGCCAGGCCCAAGGGCCAGGCAGUGCAGCAGCCAUGACUACUCCUGCUCCAGAGGACCGAAGGGCCCACCCGCUGUCCAGAGCAUCUCUCCUCCCCUUCGCCCCUCCCCGCCACAGGAGAGCAUACCACCCUUGGCGGCCGAAGCUGCUCCUUUUGGGGCCCCCACAUUCUGUGUGCACGGGACUGCCUCUGGGGUCUCUGUGGGCCAUCCGUUGAUGAUCUUCAUAGUCCAGCCCAGCCCAGUGGCUCUCCCGCCAUGCGGGAAGCCACCACCUCUUGCCCAGGUAGCAGUUCCCUGGGCUGCAUGCUCCCCUGCCAUCUUGGCCCCCCGGAAGCCUGGACAAGGGGCCAUCAUGCCUCCUGGACAGCCGGAGGCACACAUCCCGCGCUGGCCAGAGUCAUCCUACAGUGAAGGCACGGCCCCUCAGCUAGAGCCACAGACCCAGCCCCGCAGCCUUCCAAGCCCGACAAGCCUCCUAGACGAGCUCAUGGCCGACACGCGCAUUCCGACUUUGCCAGGACCUUUCCCUAGGGCCGCUGCUGACCAUGGGGUGGACCCUGCCCUCCCAGGCGCACCCAGCCUCCUAGACAAGCUCUUGGCGGCAAUGAGCAUCCCCGCAUCGCUGGGGCCUUCCCCGGGGGCCUCUGCAGUCACAGGGCAACAACAAGCUCUCGCUGGCACACCCAGCCUCUUAGAGCACUGUGGCUUUGCCGCCUUCAGUGGCUUCCUCUCCCCAGGGGCCUAGUGCCUUCUGCCACCAGUAUCCAAGCCACCCCAGGGCCUUCCCUCGGGCCCUGUGCUGAUGAACGGGUACAACUCGCCCUCCCAGGCUCACCGAGACUCCACACGAGUUCCUGGCUUCCCCGGGCAUCCCGGGCACACUGGGUGCUUUUCUGGGGUCCUUUUCAGUCAUCACAGGGGCCCACCCAGCCUUCCCUGGAUCACCCAGCUUCCUAGAGGAAAGCUUGGCUGCCACGGCCACGCGGGACACACCCUGGUCUUCUCCUGGGGCCCCUGCAGGGGACGAGGGAGUUGAGGCCAUCCUAGAAGCAUGCCUCAGUCAGGAGGAUUACCGGGCCCUCCUUGACAUGCUGCCAGGCUCCCCAGGUCCUCGGGCUUAGAGGGAGAGGAAGGGAGGGACACCUUCUUCCCCUGUCCACGUUCAGGUCUCCUUGCCUGCGAUGCUUGGGGAAAGGGGAGGGGGCGGUUUUAUGUGUGGGAAGAGGAGAGAAUACCGACAGGAUGUCUACCAACAAUUCUGGGGACAAACCCGAGAGCUGGAUCUUUGGGAAGCUGGGCCGCACCCCCAAACAGGAACAUCCUACUUGAAGCCUCAAGUAAUCCCUGCAUGGCAGUGACUGAGAGGGUGCCACAGAGGGAACAUUCCAUGGACACAAGACAGAAACCCCGUGCCCCGCACAGGUGCUUUGGGUCUGGCUCUUCUGACUUCUGGUCCCGUCCUUCCAGCAGUCCACCCAGGAGAACUCCUUCCCUACACCAGGAGCAGCAGAGGGAGGGGGAGCGGGAGAGAGGGGAGUGAAUAGGUGGAAAGGUUGGGAGAUGCAAGUUGGGAGGGGCCUAGUGGGUGGUGGGAGUAGGUGGGGGUGAAGGGAGAGAGUGGGGGUGAAGGGAGAGAGGGAGAGAGAAAGAGGGUAGGAGGCAGGGAGAGUUGGGUACAGU
ensembl:lncRNA